GACCAGACUCCUACGGGAGGCAGCAGUGAGGAAUAUUGGUCAAUGGUCGGGAGACUGAACCAGCCAAGCCGCGUGAGGGAUGAAGGUACAGAGUAUCGUAAACCUCUUUUGUCAGGGAACAAAGGCGGGGACGCGUCCCCGGAUGAGUGUACCUGAAGAAAAAGCAUCGGCUAACUCCGUGCCAGCAGCCGUGGUAAUACGGAGGAUGCGAGCGUUAUCCGGAUUUAUUGGGUUUAAAGGGUGCGUAGGCGGAAUGCCAGGUCAGCGGUAAAAUCGCGGGGCUCAACCUCGCUCCGCCGUUGAAACUGGCGUUCUUGAGUGGGCGAGAAGUAUGCGGAAUGCGUGGUGUAGCGGUGAAAUGCAUAGAUAUCACACAGAACACCGAUUGCGAAGGCAUCUCACGAAUCCGCGAUUGACGCUGAUGCACGAAAGCGUGGGUAUCAAACAGGAUUAGAUACCCCUGUA
rnacentral:rRNA from 1 species